GUAGCUAACUCAGCAUUGGGGAGCCUCUACGCUUCUUUGGAGGGAUAGAGAACUCCAGAUCCCAAAGGAGGACAUAAGACAGAAUUUGAAAAGGGGAGGAGGCUGGGCAUGGUGGCUCACGCCUGUAUAAUAAUAAUUUUUAAAAGGAGGGGAGGAGGAUACCAGCAGUUCAAGACACAAGUCUGCAUGGCAAAUGUGGGUGGGAUGGAUACUUUCUUUUUAUUUUAUUUUUUAUUUUUUUGAGACAGGGUCUCUCUUAGU
rnacentral:lncRNA from 1 species